UACGGAGGGACUAGCGUUGUUCGGAAUCAUUGGGCGUAAAGCGCGUGUAGGCGGUCCGGUAAGUCCGCUGUGAAAGCCCGGGCUCAACCCCGGGAGGCGGGUGGAUACUGCUGAGCUCGAGUCCGGAAGAGGAGUGUGGAAUUCCUGGUGUAGCGGUGAAAUGCGCAGAUAUCAGGAGGAACACCAAUGGCGAAGGCAGCACUCUGGGACGGUACUGACGCUGAGACGCGAAAGCGUGGGGAGCAAACAGG
rnacentral:rRNA from 1 species